GUAAAUUGUUUAAAUAAUGACACAAUGUGUGUAAAUUGUUGAAUUUAUUACAUGAUUUUAACAACCAAAUGUAAAUAUAUACUUCUAAAGUAUAAAAUAAUAUCUUUUUUAGGGAUGAAUUCUUUCAAAUCAAUUAGUAUUUUACAAUAUAAAUAAUUCAUUCUGAAGAACAUUGGAAGACUUUUUAAACUAAAAAUGUCUGAUUUUUAUGCACUUUUUUUGAUCACUUUUAUUGGUUUCUACUUAAAAAACUUUUCAGGUCAAUAUAAGGUCAAUAAAACAAUUGCAAUUCUUUGAGAUAGCAAAAUAUGAUUUCCUUUUAGAAAACAAAGCUUUCAUAUAAUUAUUGUGAUGAAAUUUUUAAUAAAAAAGCAACAGGAAAAACUCUUUUUAGAGAUAUCUUAUUUUACUAAAAUUGAAAUAUAACAGUUCAUAAAAAUUUACAUUAUAAUAACUUACUGAAAAUUCAUCAUUGGUAUCAACCUACCUCCAUCAAAAACAAUUUAAAUCUGGAGACAUUUUACAUGAUUAAGCACCAAGCAGAUAUAUUAUGAGGUUAUUUAUCUUUAAGUUUAUAAGAAAACAUAUGAAAGCAGGAGUACUGUAAAGUUCCAUAACUCUCCCCAGAAACUCUCUUCCAGGGAACUAUAUCUCCCAAAACAAUAAAGGGCUGCAUACAGUCACUGAUUACCCUUUCAAAAACUGAGUUGACAUAAAUAUGUGAAUAUACAAUUAAAUGACAUGAUUAAGAGGGAAAAUAACAAUCUUAUUACUACAAGGUGACAUGAUUAAGAUGGAAAAAUA
rnacentral:lncRNA from 1 species